rnacentral:rRNA from 1 species
AGCGGCGGACGGGUGAGUAACGCGUGGGUAACCUGCCUCAUACAGGGGGAUAACAGUUGGAAACGGCUGCUAAUACCGCAUAAGCGCACAGUACCGCAUGGUACGGUGUGAAAAACUCCGGUGGUAUGAGAUGGACUCGCGUCUGAUUAGGUAGUUGGUGGGGUAACGGCCUACCAAGCCGACGAUCAGUAGCCGACCUGAGAGGGUGACCGGCCACAUUGGGACUGAGACACGGCCCAA